AUGAAAAAAAAAAAGAAUACAAAGGAAAAGUUUACUUCUACUCUUGAAACUUGAAUGAGGAGGUUCAUAAUCGUAAAAUUAAUCUGAGGCUGAGCAGAUUCACCUCACAGGAAGAGUGCAUCACCUUUAAUAUGUGCAUGUGUGCUAAGUCAUUUCAGUCAAGUCUGACUCUUUGCAACCCUAUGAACUGUAGCCCGCUAAGCUCCUCUGUUCGUGGGAUGCUCCAGGCAAGAAUACUGGACUGGGUUGCCAUGCCCUCCUCCAGGGGAUCUUCCCAACCCAGGAAUCAUACUUACAUCUGUCUUCUGCAUUGGCAAGCAGGUUCUUUACUGCUAGUGCCACCUGGGAAGCCUAUCACCUUUAAAGGAUGCCUACAAAAAGAAUCCAGCAGGAGAUUUUUGUUUGAGGGAAGAUAAGGUUAUACUAUAAAAAUGACUUUAUUAUUCAGUACUUAAGUAAAAGUGACAUUUCUAUCCAUUAGAGGACUGCUGCAUCUGGGUGAGGUACAAGAUCACUGAAGAAACUCCAUUCCUGAGACCAGAGAUACAGGGCUUGGCUGCGUCUGAGGCUGAAGCAGGACCACAGCUCUCCCAGCCUCUCAUUGCCCACCCCACUGCCGAGCAAGCACCAAAUAAUAAGGACCAGGAGAUAUUCCUGACCUAGGGAUCAAACCUGGGUCUUCCACAUUGCAGGUGGAUUUUUUACCAUCUGAGCUACCAGGAUAUAGGGCUUCCCCUGUGGCUCAGCUGGUAAAGAGUCCGCCUGCAAUGUGGGAGACCGGGGUUCCAUCCCUGGGUUCAGAAGACCCCUGGAGAAGGGAAAGGCUACCUACUCCAGUAUUCUGGCCUGGAGAAUUCCAUGGACUGUAUAGUCCAUGGGGUUGCAAAGAGUUGGACACACCUGAGAGACUUUUACGUCACUUCACUUCAAGAUAUAGUGCAGAUAUCAUUUCUUCCAUUUUACAGAUGAGUAAACUAAAGCUGAGUAAUUUAAUGUCUUCUUAAAAAUCACCUACACACACAUAGGACCAGAAUCCAGGACUUCUGAUCCUUUUUUUUUUUUUUAAUUAAAUUUUUUACUUUCAGAAAAUUACAUAUUCACAUGCAAUUGUAAAAAACAACGUAGAAAUUCUAUGUACCAUUUACCCAGUUUCACCCAAUGGUAAUAUUUUAUACAAUUAUAGUACCAUUUCACAACCAGGAUACUGAUAUUAAAAAGUUAAGAUACAGAUCAAUUACAACAACACAAGAAUCCCUCAAAUGAGUAACAUGGAAACUUACAUUACCAUAUGUAAAAUAGAUAGCCAAUGGAAAUUUUCCACUGACUCAAGGAACUCAAACAGGGGUUCUGUAACAACCUAGAGGGGUGGGAUGAGGAGGAAGGUGGGAGG